CUGACGACUCGUCUGCGAUUGUUCGCCUGAAUUAAACAACUUUUGGUUCCGAGUUGAUAAAGAUUUUAGUUGUUUGAUUUUUUUUACGCAAAAAUCCGUUUUUUUUUUUUAGGGCGUUGCGUCUCAGGUCUCAGGUGACGCCGAUGACGCUCUGUUUUUCACUCCACCUUCAGGCGUCGUGACUCCAACCGUUCCUGCUCUGAACGUUUCCAUCCCGAUUAUUGUUCGCUGCUGCCGUCGAGAUGCUUCACAAAGUUCCGUCUCCGCUUCGCCUGUGAUUAUUCCGAGCGGGAAAAAAAGUGGCUGAAUUCAACUCCAGACAGACGUAGAAAGUAAACGUGAGUAUAAAUAAAUCAACUAUAUCGAGGACACUUGCAUUCCCUGUUUUCAGGUGCAGUCGCCGCCCGUUUAUGGCUAAGAUGCAUUUCAUCGCUAAA